UGACCUCGGAUCAGGUAGGAAUACCCGCUGAA
rnacentral:rRNA from 3 species